rnacentral:rRNA from 1 species
UGGGGAAUAUUGGACAAUGGGCGCAAGCCUGAUCCAGCCAUGCCGCGUGUGUGAAGAAGGCCUUUUGGUUGUAAAGCACUUUAAGCGAGGAGGAGGCUACUUGGAUUAAUACUCUAAGAUAGUGGACGUUACUCGCAGAAUAAGCACCGGCUAACUCUUUGCCAGCAGCCGCGGUAAUACAGAGGGUGCGAGCGUUAAUCGGAUUUACUGGGCGUAAAGCGUGCGUAGGCGGCUUCUUAAGUCGGAUGUGAAAUCCCUGAGCUUAACUUAGGAAUUGCAUUCGAUACUGGGAAGCUAGAGUAUGGGAGAGGAUGGUAGAAUUCCAGGUGUAGCGGUGAAAUGCGUAGAGAUCUGGAGGAAUACCGAUGGCGAAGGCAGCCAUCUGGCCUAAUACUGACGCUGAGGUACGAAAGCAUGGGGAGCAAACAGG